rnacentral:rRNA from 1 species
CGAAUAAGGAUCGGCUAACUCCGUGCCAGCAGCCGCGGUAAUACGGAGGAUUCAAGCGUUAUCCGGAUUUAUUGGGUUUAAAGGGUGCGUAGGCGGUUUGAUAAGUUAGAGGUGAAAUUUCGGGGCUCAACCCUGAACGUGCCUCUAAUACUGUUGAGCUAGAGAGUAGUUGCGGUAGGCGGAAUGUAUGGUGUAGCGGUGAAAUGCUUAGAGAUCAUACAGAACACCGAUUGCGAAGGCAGCUUACCAAACUAUAUCUGACGUUGAGGCACGAAAGCGUGGGGAGCAAACAGGAUUAGAUACCCUGGUAGUCCACGCAGUAAACGAUGAUAACUCGUUGUCGGCGAUACACAGUCGGUGACUAAGCGAAAGCGAUAAGUUAUCCACCUGGGGAGUACGUUCGCAAGAAUGAAACUCAAAGGAAUUGACGGGGGCCCGCACAAGCGGAGGAACAUGUGGUUUAAUUCGAUGAUACGCGAGGAACCUUACCCGGGCUUGAAAGUUAGCGACGAUUCUUGAAAGAGGAUUUCCCUUCGGGGCGCGAAACUAGGUGCUGCAUGGUUGUCGUCAGCUCGUGCCGUGAGGUGUCGGGUUAAGUCCCAUAACGAGCGCAACCCCUACCGUUAGUUGCCAUCAGGUGAAGCUGGGCACUCUGGCGGGACUGCCGGUGUAAGCCGAGAGGAAGGUGGGGAUGACGUCAAAUCAGCACGGCCCUUACGUCCGGGGCUACACACGUGUUACAAUGGGGGGUACAGAAGGCAGCUACCUGGUGACAGGAUGCUAAUCCCAAAAACCUCUCUCAGUUCGGAUCGAAGUCUGCAACCCGACUUCGUGAAGCUGGAUUCGCUAGUAAUCGCGCAUCAGCCAUGGCGCGGUGAAUACGUUCCCGGGCCUUGUACACACCGCCCGUCAAGCCAUGGGAGCCGGGGGUACCUGAAGUGCGUAACCGCGAGGAGCGCCCUAGGGUAAAACUGGUGACUGGGGCUAAGUCGUAACAAGGUAGCCGUACCGGAAGGUGCGGCUG